AGCGAACGCUGGCGGCAGGCCUAACACAUGCAAGUCGAACGGACCCUUCGGGGUUAGUGGCGGACGGGUGAGUAACACGUGGGAACGUGCCUUUAGGUUCGGAAUAGCUCCUGGAAACGGGUGGUAAUGCCGAAUGUGCCCUUCGGGGGAAAGAUUUAUCGCCUUUAGAGCGGCCCGCGUCUGAUUAGCUAGUUGGUGAGGUAAUGGCUUACCAAGGCGACGAUCAGGAGAUGGUCUGAGAGGAUGACCAGCCACAUUGGGACUGAGACACGGCCCAAACUCCGACGGGAGGCAGCAGUGGGGAAUCUUGCGCAAUGGGCGAAAGCCUGACGCAGCCAUGCAGCGUGGAUGAUGAAGGUCUUAGGAUUGUAAAAUCCUUUCACCGGUGAAGAUAAUGACUGUAGCCGGAGAAGAAGCCCCGGCUAACUUCGUGCCAGCAGCCGCCGUAA
rnacentral:rRNA from 1 species